AUGAUCUUACCAGGCUCGAUGUCAUCCUGUUGCAUCAUACAAAGGUCAUUUUCUUGCUCUCUUUCAAUUCCAGGGGAGCCACCUGAGCCUUCUCUCUUUAUUUUUCUUUCUGACCUAAUCUCCUAUGGAGACCUGUGCAAUUCCAGUUCAACCAACACUCUGCUCUUUUCUUCCUUCACAACUAUCAAGCAGAGGAAACCGAAGAUGUUCCAACAUGUUCUGGAAGCCAGAGUUUCUUUCUUGUCACCGAGACUGGAGUGCAAUAUGGCAAUCUCAGCUCACUGCAACCUCUGCCUCCCAGGUUCAAGCGAUUCUCCUGCCUCAGCCUCCUGAGUAGCUGGGAUUACUGACGCCCAGCACCACAUGCAGCUAAUUUUUGUAUUGUUAGUAGAGACGGGGUUUCAUCAUGUUGGCCAGGCUGGUCUCAAACUCCUGACCUCAAAUGAUUCAUUUGUCUCGGCCUCCUAAAGUGCUGGGAGGGAUUACAGGCAUGAAUCUCUGGACCUGGUCUCUUUUUUGUUGAAUGCUUUACUUAUAUUCCAUUCUGAGGGAGUCCAAGGUUCUGGAAACCCGCUUGAACUUGAAUCAGGCUAACACAUCCCCAUACUACAAACAUGACACUCAAUGAAAUUAGCCCUGGGUAUUUCAACUCUGACUAUGGAAACAUGCCUUUUAAUUUUAAUUGUCUAUACCAUAUUCAUUAUUUCCCUUAUUCUUACAAUAGGAUCCUAAAUUUUCUAUGGGAUCCAAUAUAUCCAGCUGAGAGACAUUUCCCAGCCUCCUUUGUAGCUAGGAUGGGUCAUCGGACACAUUUUUGGCCAACAAGACAUAAUUGAAAAUCUACUCGGUAUUUUUGGGGAAUGUUUUACUUUCUCUAAAUUGGUACAUCCCCUUGCAGAUUGUUAGUUCUCCUUUCCUACAUGUCUUCUUCUUGUUUUUGCCUUUAUCUUCUUCCUCUUUCUCCGUCUUCUCCUUCUUUUCCUUUUGUGUCUUCCCUGGAAAGCAGAGCUAGAGAUGGAGCAGCCACAUUUCAAUCUGGAGUUACCACUGGAGGAAAGCCAUGUUAGUGAUGGCAGAGUAGAAAGAAAAAGACUAGGAGCUAUCCCUGACAUGUUUACCUUUGGUCUUCUUGCCUCUGGGCUUCUGAUUUUGUGAAACAUAUUACCCUUUUAUUAGUUUAGUCUCUGUUGUGGGGUUUAUAUUACACACAAACACAACACCUAACUGAUAUAGUCUACUUAAUUUCUACACUUGAAUAAAUCCUCACUCACUUCCUUAGCUUCCUUUCUC
rnacentral:lncRNA from 13 species